GGAAAAUGAUAGGAAAGGCCAGUCUACAUGCAAAAUAAGCAAAUGGGUUAAUGCUAAAAAAAUCCAAACCUUAGCUGAAAGUUGCAAUUAUAGUAAAUCUUUUCAGUUUUGUCAAUUAUAUGCUCAAUGUUGCAAAUAUACAUUUGAAAUAAGCAAAUUGGUUAAUGUAGCUCUAGGUUUUUCUCUAAUAAACAUAAAGGGAAAUGGAACUUACAUAAUGUUUGGCUUGCCAAUUUGACCACAAUUAAAUUUCUCUGAUAUAAAACUCAUUCAAUAAUUCCUCUUUCUAUCAUGGAAUAACUUUCGGUUUAUUGUUCUAUUGAAUUUUUUAUGCAUGACAUUUCAUUUGCAUUAUGUUUUACCAAACAUGAUCAAGCGUUUUAUCCUCUUU
rnacentral:misc_RNA from 1 species